rnacentral:rRNA from 1 species
CGGCGUGCCUAAUACAUGCAAGUAGAACGCUGAAGAGAGGAGCUUGCUCUUCUUGGAUGAGUUGCGAACGGGUGAGUAACGCGUAGGUAACCUGCCUUGUAGCGGGGGAUAACUAUUGGAAACGAUAGCUAAUACCGCAUAACAAUGGAUGACACAUGUCAUUUAUUUGAAAGGGGCAAUUGCUCCACUACAAGAUGGACCUGCGUUGUAUUAGCUAGUAGGUGAGGUAAUGGCUCACCUAGGCGACGAUACAUAGCCGACCUGAGAGGGUGAUCGGCCACACUGGGACUGAGACACGGCCCAGACUCCUACGGGAGGCAGCAGUAGGGAAUCUUCGGCAAUGGGGGCAACCCUGACCGAGCAACGCCGCGUGAGUGAAGAAGGUUUUCGGAUCGUAAAGCUCUGUUGUAAGUCAAGAACGGGUGUGAGAGUGGAAAGUUCACACUGUGACGGUAGCUUACCAGAAAGGGACGGCUAACUACGUGCCAGCAGCCGCGGUAAUACGUAGGUCCCGAGCGUUGUCCGGAUUUAUUGGGCGUAAAGCGAGCGCAGGCGGUUUGAUAAGUCUGAAGUUAAAGGCUGUGGCUCAACCAUAGUUCGCUUUGGAAACUGUCAAACUUGAGUGCAGAAGGGGAGAGUGGAAUUCCAUGUGUAGCGGUGAAAUGCGUAGAUAUAUGGAGGAACACCGGUGGCGAAAGCGGCUCUCUGGUCUGUAACUGACGCUGAGGCUCGAAAGCGUGGGGAGCGAACAGGAUUAGAUACCCUGGUAGUCCACGCCGUAAACGAUGAGUGCUAGGUGUUGGAUCCUUUCCGGGAUUCAGUGCCGCAGCUAACGCAUUAAGCACUCCGCCUGGGGAGUACGACCGCAAGGUUGAAACUCAAAGGAAUUGACGGGGGCCCGCACAAGCGGUGGAGCAUGUGGUUUAAUUCGAAGCAACGCGAAGAACCUUACCAGGUCUUGACAUCCCGAUGCUAUUUCUAGAGAUAGAAAGUUACUUCGGUACAUCGGUGACAGGUGGUGCAUGGUUGUCGUCAGCUCGUGUCGUGAGAUGUUGGGUUAAGUCCCGCAACGAGCGCAACCCCUAUUGUUAGUUGCCAUCAUUCAGUUGGGCACUCUAGCGAGACUGCCGGUAAUAAACCGGAGGAAGGUGGGGAUGACGUCAAAUCAUCAUGCCCCUUAUGACCUGGGCUACACACGUGCUACAAUGGUUGGUACAACGAGUUGCGAGUCGGUGACGGCGAGCUAAUCUCUUAAAGCCAAUCUCAGUUCGGAUUGUAGGCUGCAACUCGCCUACAUGAAGUCGGAAUCGCUAGUAAUCGCGGAUCAGCACGCCGCGGUGAAUACGUUCCCGGGCCUUGUACACACCGCCCGUCACACCACGAGAGUUUGUAACACCCGAAGUCGGUGAGGUAACCUUUUGGAGCCAGCCGCCUAAGGUGGGACAGAUGAUUGGGGUG